rnacentral:lncRNA from 1 species
GAUUUCAAGGCUCACACCUUUAAUUGUGUAUUCCGCUUAUAAAAAACAAACAAAAACUACCCAGGCAACUUAAUCCAUUAUUAUAAAAGAAGCAAUUAUUGAUACUACUAUUUUCUGAUUUUAGUACUUUAGUUAACAAAUACAAACAUAGUUUGCUUGAGAUAUGAAGAAGUCUAUUUAAUUAUUCCUGUAGGUAAUUAAACAGAUUAAAAGUAAUUUAGAUCACAAAAGCUGCAAAAUAAAAUAAACUCAGAAAUAACUCAGAAUAAGAAAGCUUUAAACAUAGCUUUAUACAUCAUUCAUUUGCCAACUUGACUAAGACAGUGGCCCUCCACAUGUAUGAAAUCCAUUUUAUUGUUUCCUUCCAAUAGCUGUCUGCAAUAAUUAUGGGGGAAAAAUUGGGAAUGUUUUGCAGGAGCUGGUUAAUUUUUUAUAAAGAUGAUAAAACUAAAAUGCAUACAACAUGUUAUUUGCCUGGUUAAAAAUGUCAGAGAAGUAGAGCAUAAUGGUAAAGAUGCAACACCACACACAACUUGUUCGAACUUGAAGCUGGCUUGAGAUUUAAGAAGAGACAAUGUGGAAACAAGAACACUGGACUCAGUCACCUACAUACUGCCUCAAAAAACUAUAUUGCAAGUAUGAUGUUAUCAACAAAACAUACACUGGGCUACAGUCUGCAGAGUGACACCAUAUGAUAACAGAUGGAGCUAGGUAUAAGACAACAAAUGUGUUUUCAUCACAUUCUGGUAUGCUCAAAAGUUGAUGAGUGAAAGCAUUUUGAAUAAUAAAGCACCGUUGUCAUCCUUCAUUUUCAAAGAUGACACUAGCUGACAGGAAAUCUUGUCUGA